UUAAGUUCAGCGGGUAGUCCUACCUGAUUUGAGGUCAGAGUCUAAAGUGCGCGAUGGCAGGUUAUGAGCGGACUCGUACGCAAGGGACAAGACGAAACUUAUUACGUCUGUCACGGAUGCAGAGAGAUCCACUAAGUCAUUUGAGGCGAGCCGUGUGACCGGCAGACGCCCAUGUCCAAGUCCCGACCAGAUCAUAAACC
rnacentral:misc_RNA from 1 species